CUUCUCCUUUCCUCUUCAUCCAGUCUCCGUUACUGAGCUUCAUCUACCAUCAAUCAAUGGUGUUCUUCAGUACACUUCGUUUCACCUCCUUCUUUAUCUCCUUCCGUAUAAACCACUUUGUCUUAAGUUGAUCCGAUUCAAUCCCGAAAACCUCCUCUGCUGAAACUAUAGCAAAGAAACCAAACGGCAAGUUCAAUAUGUCCCACUAUCUUGCUUUUGUUUGUUAUUCAAUUAACCAAAAUAGUGCCAGUUUCAAUUAAACUGCCCUGUUGAUCCUAGAAGCCAUUUUUUGCCAUUGCUCUUGCGAUGGCUUCCAUUGAUUUUAUGCUUCAUCAAUUCUGAUUUGAUUCUCUUCUUUUUUUUCACACCAGGGGUUGAUUUUGGGAGCACUUUUCUUGCAGCCUAGCUUCCUGGUAAGGGUUGAGGUAAUGUAAGUCUUCGCUCGGUUUGGUUUAACGAUGUGGGGGUGAGGCUCCUAUUUUUGUUGCAUAUCUAUUCUCCUCUUAGACCUUGUGAGGAAUAGUAAAUUUUUUUUGUCAGAUUAAUUGAACUUAGAAUCAUAAUUCUAUUUUCUCUGGCCGUAAUGUUUAUUACUUAGUGAAUGCCUUGGUAAGUUAUUAUAACUUUAUGUAUUUGUUGUGACUAAACUGGUUGAUAAACUUUGGAAUUAUAGGAAACAGGUUGUCUAAAGGAUGCAUUAGGCAAUGAGAUACUGAAGCUUAAGGAUCAACUUGGUUCAAGACAGAAGGCUAUUUCUUUCUUUGAGCGUGACAAUUCAAGCAACUAUCUGAUACCCGCCUGCAUUGAGAUACCCACGGAUGGAACUGACGAGUGGGAAAUUGACGUGAAACAGUUCCAAAUUGAAAAGAAAGUGGCAUCUUGGUUCAUAUGGGGGGAUCUGCACAGAGGCACUUAUUGCAGUUUGGAGGUUGCUAUCAAAUUUCUCAAACCUGAGCGUAUAAGGUUGCUAUGAGAUUGUCAAGGUUGCUGAUUUUGGAGUUGUCAGAGUACAGAUUGAAUCAGGGGUGAUGACAGCUGAAACAGGGACACAUCGAUGGAUGGCUCCGGAGGGUCUUAGACCAAAGAUUCCAAAGAAGACACAUCCAAAAGUGAAGGGACUUCUACAGAGAUGCUGGAACCAAGACCCAAAAGACAGACCAGAGUUUGAGGAAAUCAUAGAAAUGCUUCAACAGAUAAUGAUUGAGGUAAACGUCGUACCGUGAUGAUGAUCCGAGUAAAAAAACCCUUUUAGAGGCGAGAUUUCUGAGAGCAGGAUGUGGUGGUGGUGGUGAAAACAAGCAGGCUGGAGAUGAAGACCCUGCAGAUAAGGACAAGCACUGUUGGAGAUAGUGAAAUAUAUUAUUUAUAUAAAUAUAAUUAUAUAUUUUUAUUUACAUAAUAGUUUGAAAAAAAAUAUUUUGUGUAAGUAAUAUCAUAAUUUUAUAAAAUACUAAAAUCAAUUGGGUUAGUUUUUAACUUUCACAAAUAAAAAAUAUUAUUUUUUCAUUAGAGAUAGUCUAAGGUAUGGCCGACGUAAACGAUCGACGUUGAGAUUUCAACUUUUUUUAUUCUUAAUAUUCUAAUGUUUCAAUAUAAUUUGAAUAUUCCCUUUGUUUUAUAA